AUUGAACGCUGGCGGCAUGCCUUACACAUGCAAGUCGAACGGCAGCACGGGUGCUUGCACCUGGUGGCGAGUGGCGAACGGGUGAGUAAUAUAUCGGAACGUACCUUAUUGUGGGGGAUAACGCAGCGAAGGCUGUGCUAAUACCGCAUAAUCCCUAAGGGGGAAAGCGGGGGACCGUAAGGCCUCGCGCAAUUGGAGCGGCCGAUACCUGAUUAGCUAGUUGGUGAGGUAAAGGCUCACCAAGGCAACGAUCAGUAGCUGGUCUGAGAGGACGAUCAGCCACACUGGGACUGAGACACGGCCCAGACUCCUACGGGAGGCAGCAGUGGGGAAUUUUGGACAAUGGGGGCAACCCUGAUCCAGCAAUGCCGCGUGAGUGAAGAAGGCCUUCGGGUUGUAAAGCUCUUUUGUCAGGGAAGAAACAGCAGCUCUAACACAGUUUGCGAAUGACGGUACCUGAAGAAUAAGCACCGGCUAACUACGUGCCAGCAGCCGCCGUAA
rnacentral:rRNA from 1 species